rnacentral:rRNA from 1 species
CAGUCGCCGCGGGAAUACGUAGGGUGCGAGCGUUGUCCGGAAUUAUUGGGCGUAAAGAGCUUGUAGGCGGUUUGUCGCGUCUGCUGUGAAAUCCCGAGGUUGAGCCUCGGGCGUGCAGUGGGUACGGGCAGACUAGAGUGCGGUAGGGGAGAAUGGAACUCCUGGUGUAGCGGUGGAAUGCGCAGAUAUCAGGAAGAACACCGAUGGCGAAGGCAGUUCUCUGGGCCGUAACUGACGCUGAGAAGCGAAAGCGUGGGGAGCGAACAGGAUUAGAUACCCCUGUAGUCCCUGUCUCUUAUAC